AGAGUUUGAUCAUGGCUCAGGACGAACGCUGGCGGCGUGCCUAAUACAUGCAAGUCGAGCGAAUCUGAGGGAGCUUGCUCCCAAAGGUUAGCGGCGGACGGGUGAGUAACACGUGGGUAACCUGCCUGUAAGAUUGGGAUAACUCCGGGAAACCGGAGCUAAUACCGGAUAACAUUUCGAACCGCAUGGUUCGAAAUUGAAAGGUGGCUUUUGCUAUCACUUACAGAUGGACCCGCGGCGCAUUAGCUAGUUGGUGAGGUAACGGCUCACCAAGGCAACGAUGCGUAGCCGACCUGAGAGGGUGAUCGGCCACACUGGGACUGAGACACGGCCCAGACUCCUACGGGAGGCAGCAGUAGGGAAUCUUCCGCAAUGGACGAAAGUCUGACGGAGCAACGCCGCGUGAACGAUGAAGGCCUUCGGGUCGUAAAGUUCUGUUGUUAGGGAAGAACAAGUACCAGAGUAACUGCUGGUACCUUGACGGUACCUAACCAGAAAGCCACGGCUAACUACGUGCCAGCAGCCGCGGUAAUACGUAGGUGGCAAGCGUUGUCCGGAAUUAUUGGGCGUAAAGCGCUCGCAGGCGGUUUCUUAAGUCUGAUGUGAAAGCCCACGGCUCAACCGUGGAGGGUCAUUGGAAACUGGGGAACUUGAGUGCAGAAGAGGAGAGUGGAAUUCCACGUGUAGCGGUGAAAUGCGUAGAGAUGUGGAGGAACACCAGUGGCGAAGGCGACUCUCUGGUCUGUAACUGACGCUGAGGAGCGAAAGCGUGGGGAGCGAACAGGAUUAGAUACCCUGGUAGUCCACGCCGUAACGAUGAGUGCUAAGUGUUAGAGGGUUUCCGCCCUUUAGUGCUGCAGCAACGCAUUAAGCACUNCGCCUGGGUGAGUACCGGUCGCAAGACUGAACCUAAAGGAAUUGAC
rnacentral:rRNA from 1 species